UUUUCUAUCAAAGUCUUUUCAAGAUUAAGCCAUGCAUGUCUAAGUAUAAGCAAUUUAUACAGUGAACUGCGAAUGGCUCAUUAAAUCAGUUAUCGUUUAUCUGAUAGUACCUUACUACUUGGAUAACCGUGGUAAUUCUAGAGCUAAUACAUGCUUAAAAUCCCGACUGUUUGGAAGGGAUGUAUUUAUUAGAUAAAAAAUCAAUGCCUUCGGGCUCUUUGAUGAUUCAUAAUAACUUUUCGAAUCGCAUGGCCUUGUGCUGGCGAUGGUUCAUUCAAAUUUCUGCCCUAUCAACUUUCGAUGGUAGGAUAGUGGCCUACCAUGGUUUCAACGGGUAACGGGGAAUAAGGGUUCGAUUCCGGAGAGGGAGCCUGAGAAACGGCUACCACAUCCAAGGAAGGCAGCAGGCGCGCAAAUUACCCAAUCCCGACACGGGGAGGUAGUGACAAUAAAUAACGAUACAGGGCCCUUUUGGGUCUUGUAAUUGGAAUGAGUACAAUGUAAAUACCUUAACGAGGAACAAUUGGAGGGCAAGUCUGGUGCCAGCAGCCGCGGUAAUUCCAGCUCCAAAAGCGUAUAUUAAAGUUGUUGCAGUUAAAAAGCUCGUAGUUGAACCUUGGGCUUGGCUGGCCGGUCCAUCUUUUUGAUGCGUACUGGACCCAGCCGAGCCUUUCCUUCUGGGUAGCCAUUUAUGGCGAACCAGGACUUUUACUUUGAAAAAAUUAGAGUGUUCAAAGCAGGCCUUUGCUCGAAUAUAUUAGCAUGGAAUAAUAGAAUAGGACGUUAUGGUUCUAUUUUGUUGGUUUCUAGGACCAUCGUAAUGAUUAAUAGGGACGGUCGGGGGUAUCAGUAUUCAGUUGUCAGAGGUGAAAUUCUUGGAUUUACUGAAGACUAACUACUGCGAAAGCAUUUACCAAGGACGUUUUCAUUAAUCAAGAACGAAAGUUAGGGGAUCGAAGAUGAUCAGAUACCGUCGUAGUCUUAACCAUAAACUAUGCCGACUAGGGAUCGGUUGUUGUUCUUUUAUUGACGCAAUCGGCACCUUACGAGAAAUCAAAGUCUUUGG
rnacentral:rRNA from 1 species